rnacentral:lncRNA from 1 species
GCCAAAGUCUGGGAGCCUCAGCUUCACGAUCUGUCCUUCCAAUGAGCACUCAGGGCUGAUUUCCUUCAGAAUGGAGAGGUUGGAUCUUCUUGCAGUCCAUGGGACUCUCAAGAGUCUCCUCCAGCACCAGAAUUCAAAAGCAUCAAUUCUUCGGCGAUCAGCCUUCUUUAUGGUCCAAGCUCUCACUUCCAUACAUCACUACUGGAAAAACCAUAGCUUUAACUAUACAGUGGUACCUCGGGUUAAGUACUUAAUUCAUUCUGGAGGUCCGUUCUUAACCUGAAACUGUUCUUAACCUGAAGCACCACUUUAGCUAAUGGGGCCUCCUGCUGCCGCCGCGCUGCUGGAGCACGAUUUCAGUUCUCAUCCUGAAGCAAAGUUAUUAACUCAAGGUACUAUUUCUGGGUUGGCAGAGUCUGUAACCUGAAGCGUCUGUAACCCGAGGUACCACUGUAUGGACCUUUGUCGGCAAGGUGAUGUGUCUGCUUUUUCAGAUGCUAUCUAGGUUUGUCAUUGCUUUUCUCCCAAGAAGCAGGCGUCUUGUAAUUUUGUGACUGCUGUCAGCAUCUGCCAUGAUCAUGGAGCCCAAGAAAAUAAUAUCUCUCACUGCCUCCAUUUAGGCCCUUCUGUAGGGGGAGGAAUGGAGAGCAGGCACUACAACUCCCAGAAGACAAUGGGAGAGCUGGCUCUACCUCCUCCUCCUCGCUUUCUCCCCCCGCCCGUUCCGAGUCCUCCCCAUUGGCCGGCUCCUGCGACAAAACUUUGCUUGCGCCGUAUCUGGGCAAAGCCCAGGCCCCAUCAGCCAAUCGGAGGUCAGAGUCAGGCGUGCGGGGCGUGGCAGGUCAGAUGGAUGCUGGGAGUGGCGGUUGUUUCAAGAUGGCGGUUGUGGCUGCUCAUUGGGCUGUGUCUUUACCUCAGGAGGGACUCGAGGUCGCGGGGUGGCGAGAGGAGAAGGAAUAGCAGGGGGUGGAAAUGAUCUCUUUCAGCUUCUGCUUUCUGGAAGAAGGUCCAGGGUUAUAAAGACUAGGACUAGCCGCCUGAGAAACAGUUUCUAGCCAAAUGCGAUUUUGGUUUUAAAUGCAGUAUAAGGAGUUUCUGUGGGAGUAUAUUGUAUUUAAUUAUGGGGUAUCAGAAUUUUUAGGGGGCUAACCAGGCUGGGAUAGCUGGGAUAACAGGCUUGUUGGUUUUUGAAUGUCCUAUGUAGAUUUUUUCAAUUUCGUUGUUCUGCAUGGGACAAUGACAAUAAAGAUUAUCGUUUAAUUUUAAAAUACGUAAAUGAAAAUAAGGUUAGAAAGAUUUGCUGGAAACACGAUUUGAACUAGAAUACAAAAUUGGGAGGUGAGAGGAGGUCAUGGAAAUAAGUAAAGGGAGAAGGUUUUGUAAAGUUUUAAUCUGCUUUUGUUUUACUUUAACUUAAUGUAUUUUUAUAUUUUUUGUUAAGUCUUCUUUUUUAUUCUAUCUUAUUGUUCUUUUUAUUCGUUUAUCUUUUGCUUUGUUAGGGUUAAAAUUUUCUUUGUAUUUUGUAUGGUUUUUCUUCUUUUUUCUGUAACUUUAAAUUUGGAAUAAAUAUCAUUAAAAAAAAAAAGACAAUAAAGAUUAUCGUAUCAUAUCAUAUCGUAAUUUGACAGUGGGCCAGUGAUAAACAAUGGCAAAGGCUGUGGUGGUUCCUGAGCAUGUGCAGAGAGCCGCCUCCGUUGCCUCAGGAAAGACGCCCCGCCGAGUGCGGAGCCAGGCCCGGGGGUUACGGGGGAAGCCCCCACUCCCAGGGCGGGGGGACCUUGGCCUGCCAGCCUCUCUCUCUCGCCCCUCGCCCUACUCUGCAGGGGUGUUGUGAGGGGCCGGGGAGAGUCGCUUGAGAUGAGUGAAUGGAUUUUAGUUCAUGAACGAUGUGAGCGUAAAGAUAUCAAAGGGAGAACAACAGCAUAUUGUAUAUACUGUUAUGAUAUGAGAGCAACGCAGCUGCAAACUGCAAACUGGUAGCUUGUUUGCAUCACAUGAUGUGACUAGCUGUGGGAAAGAAUUUUCCCGGAAGUUCACAGGCUUGAAAACAUAUGGUAGCAGACGGAGGUCGAUGGAUCGUAAACAUAUACAUGAAUCACGAGGAAGGGAGUAGUGUACUGUAUAAGGAACAGUAUAUGAAAGUAAUUGCAUAAACAUGUGCUGUUUUGUUUUCCAUGUAAUCAUUAUCUGCAUAUGCUGUUCCUUACUGUCAUCCUCAUAUACUUUCUUCUUUCCCAAGAUUCAUGUAUAUAUAAUCUGCUGUUGAUUUCUGUUUGGUACUAAUAUGCUCACAUCUUUUUUGAACUAAUUUGCAUACAUAGGUCUUCGGCUGAUGUAUUUAAACUAAAUCUUUCCAACUAGAUUUUAGUCUCUGUUUGGUUGCCCCCCUCUGGCCAUGGGAGCAGAGUAAGAUCCUUCCUUUCAGCAUCUGGAAGAGAUGGUGUGCGGAGAACAACUUCUUGGAAUGACUUUGGAGCAACGGGUUAAAAUGAGAUUGGGGGUCUGUUUAUAACUUUGGGGAGAGGGCUAGAAGUAAAAGAGUUCAAAUGAUAACUUAGGGAUACAACCUUUUCAAGUCCUUUAGGGAGGCUGGAAAAAUCAUGGCGUGCUUUUAGGCACCAUCAUCUCAUUUUCACAGGUUGGCAGCCAGCCUUUAGGUACUCCUCCUAGAGCUAGAGAAAUGGCUUAAAGCUGCCAUUUAGCAACAUUUGAUCUCUAGCUGCUCAUAUUUAUAUGUUUAUUUGCUUACAUUUAGCCUUCUCUUCCAUCAUGGAGCCCAAAGUAGCGUGCAUGCACAUGCGGUUCUCAGGCAGUCUCCCACCCAGCACUAACCAGACCUAGACCUGCUCAGCUUCCCAAAGGUGGUGGCAUCAUGUUCCUUCUGGCCCUAUCCUGGGAGUAGAUCAAACAGUGAAUAAUUUCAUUGUAUGCACUGACUUCCUGACAAAUUAGAUGCGGGCUUUUGAGUUUCAUUCGCCUGCCUAGCCAACUCCCAAUUGACCCUUCCUUAUUCAGAGGUAUAAGAGAAGGUGAGGCAGAGUAUGUUGGCCUACUUUGACCUGCUUUUAUAUUAUGUUUUUACUUUAAAAAAAUAUCGUCAUGGAUAAUUUUAACAAGAUAACACAGCUGACAGCAAGUCCAACAUGAUCUCUGCUCCCAUUAUGUAUAUACUUUAUUUACAUUAUAUUUGGUGAUUUAUGAUCCGGCAAACCUUCACCGAAGACGAACCAAGAAACUAUUAAUGGAUUGAAUUUACUAUUGGAUUAUAAUUGUAAAUGGAAUGCAACAGGGACUUUACAAGAACUUUAGAAUCUACCUAUGGAGUUCUUCAAACGAAAGACUGUGUAAAAUACUGUGAGGUUUUGUGGCACUGUCUCCUAUGGAGAGCAUUAAUUUGGAUUUAUAAUUGCUUUGGUGAGACAUCAGCUUGUUAAAAAUGAAGGGAAGAUUAAAGAAGCGAGAGCUGAAUGUCAGUCCUAUGCCAUGGCCUGAUGCCAGUAUACUUUUGGCUCAGAUAAACAAGAUGGCGAUGGCUCUGACGCAGUUUGGAAAAACAGCUCUUCAAGGGAGACAACCCGCAAGAAGGACAAUGGAUUAUAACAGGAAAGGGAGUACAAAGGAAAAAUAAUUUACACAGAAAACUACAGGUGUUAAAUCCCUCUUGCAAGUUAAUGGAGAAGGAUUUUUUGAAUACGAGUGAAGUCAUUACACCAGUGGCUGCAAAAACAGAAGAAAGGCUCAAGAUCAGAAUUGGUGUAUUUGGAUUAUAUAUGAGAUUCUGUGCAGGAUUUAGGAAUAACGAUCUCCGGAUGAUCAGAACAUGGGAAGUCACCCCAUUUGUUUAAUUUGGGAUGUAUAAUUGGCUUUAUAAAUUGUAUUAUGAUUUGGCAUG